UCCCCACCCACCCGUGCCCCUUCCCCUCGCAUCUCUUCCUCCCGAGCCCCGACCCCAGGCUAGGGUUCCAUACGCCGCCGCCGGUGUCUCACCCCCUCACCACACACGCAUCUCUCCUUUCCAUCCCCACCUGAGGUCCUCAAUCGCCAUCUCGAGGUCCGAGAAGAGAGGGCCGCCGCACCGUCUUCCUCCUCCACCGACCUCCGAGGCGCCCUACUCGUGGGACGACGCCGCCGCCGCCUUGUGGAACCCCAGGGCAGGGCAGGGCGUGGUCGAGUUGCGGGCAGGGAAGAGCGGCGCCGACGCCGUGCGUAGCCAGUUCGUGCGAGGACAAGGACUGCCGCCGCCCGGGCCGCGGUGACCACGGACGUGGAGCUGCUGAAGCGGUUCCUCAAAAUCAUGUCUAUUAGUGUUUCUUCUCUCUCUCUCUCUCUAUAUAUAUAUAUAUAUGCAUGAUCUUUCCUUUUAUAAUUCUAUGCAUGAUUUUUGCUACUGCUGGCCUUGAAUUGCCACUGAUUUGGGCCACCUUGUUUAUGAUUCGUGCACGCAUGUGUUUCGUUGGUCUUUUGCGGCAUGUGGGGAGCGUAAACUGGAACGUGUGCAGCAGGCAUCGCUGCUGCGCUGGACGACGUUGUGCGAGGCCAUGGCCAUGGAUGAUGUGCUGUUGGAGAACGGCGCAGGGCUAAGGUAGUCGAUGUGAGCGACCACUGGGGAGUGCCUAUAAUAUGUGGCUCUAGAGGUGCUGAAGCGGCGAACUGAGCUGAGGCCAGCAUAAGGAGUGACAGAGUUAUCCUCAACUUUUAUUUGUUCAUGUUGUCUCCACAAACUGACUUGUGUAUGUGUUCAUGGAUCAGAGACAGCGUGCGCUACCACGAGCACGAGGACAUCUGGGUGCGACAGUCAGAGAGCUCGUCGAGAGGCUCGGUAGGAUGGAGGGUGUCCCGCUAGCUACCCGCGUCGUUGCCAACGGUGCCAUGGGAUUUGUGGUGCACAUGGUCAAGGAGAUGUGCGGAUUCUUGGGCAAUCUCAGCUUCGAUCAACAUGUCAAUACAGGAUACGUGCUAUUCAAAGAGUGACAUAAAUUCAGAGUUCUUCCAUUGAAAUCUAGAGGAUCGGGUGCAUUUUUGUUCAGGUCUGAAAUGAGAAGAAAUAAUCAAUUGCUUUUUCUCUGAAGUUUCCCAAUGUAAAUCCUUUGUUUUUGAGAAAGAAUCAAAGCAUGCCAGCUGAUGAAGGAACGGAGGAAGCUAUUAUGCUUGGUUGUGGAAGAGUGUAUCCAACAGGAUCCACCUGACUAUGGCCAAUUGGUGCUUGCACAACAUCAGGGAAUGAUUUUUGGAGACCUGCGUAGUGGUUGGAGAUGCAUAACUACAUGUCUUUCUACUUUGGGCUCGGGCUUGAACCUCUCAUUGUGUAAAUCGAUGUGUGACUAUGGGAUCGUUAUAUCGUGUCUCCUCGUACUGCAGUAUGCUACAUAGAAUAGUUAGAAAUUGGGCUAUACUAUAUACAGGAUUGUAUUAGCAUUUUGAAUCUAAGCUAAUUGUUCUCGCCUUCUGAUUUAUUCA